rnacentral:rRNA from 1 species
AAGUUUGAUGGCGACCGGCGCACGGGUGAGUAACACGUAUCCAACCUGCCGAUGACUCGGGGAUAGCCUUUCGAAAGAAAGAUUAAUACCCGAUGGCAUAGUUCUUCCGCAUGGUGGAACUAUUAAAGAGUUUCGGUCAUCGAUGGGGAUGCGUUCCAUUAGGUUGUUGGCGGGGUAACGGCCCACCAAGCCUUCGAUGGAUAGGGGUUCUGAGAGGAAGGUCCCCCCACAUUGGAACUGAGACACGGUCCAAACUCCUACGGGAGGCAGCAUG